rnacentral:rRNA from 1 species
AGAGUUUCCUCCUGGCUCAACGCGAACGUUGGCGGCGUGCCUAACACAUGCAAGUCGUGGGGCAGCAGGCUACUACCUUUAGGUAGUAGUGCUGGCGACCGGCAAACGGGUGAGUAACACGCAGCUUACCUACCCCAAGGUUGGGGAUAACCUCCCGAAAGGGUGGCUAAUACCCAAUAAUGAGGAAACUCCAAAGCCCAAAAGGCGCCUUGGGAUGGGGCUGCGUCCCAUCAGCUAGUUGGUGAGGUAAUGGCUCACCAAGGCUACGACGGGUAACCGGUCUGAGAGGAUGACCGGUCACAGUGGGACUGAGACACGGCCCGCACCCCUACGGGGGGCAGCAGUGGGGAAUAUUGGGCAAUGGCCGAAAGGCUGACCCAGCAACGCCGCGUGGUGGACGAAGCCCUUCGGGGUGUAAACACCUUUUCUGGGGGAAGACAAUGACGGUACCCCAGGAAUAAGGGACGGCUAACUACGUGCCAGCAGCCCCGGUAAAUACGUAGGUCCCAAGCGUUGCGCGAAAUUACUGGGCGUAAAGGGUCCGUAAGCGGUCUGGCAAAGUGGAAGGUGAAAUCCUACGGCUCAACCGUAAAAUUGCCUUCCAAACUGCUGGGACUUGAGGCAGGGAGAAGUCGGCGGAAAUCCCCGGGUAUCCGGUGAAAUGCGUAGAUAAUCCAGGAAGAAACACAGUGGCCAA